rnacentral:pre_miRNA from 15 species
AGUCCUGGUGGAGCUCAAAUUGACUCUAGUAGGGAGUCCUUUAAUGAGCGACUCCCUAACGGAGUCAGAUUGAGCUGCAAAGGAGCGA